rnacentral:rRNA from 1 species
GGAUUAGAUACCCUGGUAGUCCACGCCGUAAACGAUGUCAACUAGCCGUUGGGGAACUUGAUUCCUUAGUGGCGUAGCUAACGCGCUAAGUUGACCGCCUGGGGAGUACGGUCGCAAGAUUAAAACUCAAAUGAAUUGACGGGGGCCCGCACAAGCGGUGGAGCAUGUGGUUUAAUUCGAUGCAACGCGAAGAACCUUACCUGGCCUUGACAUCCAGAGAACUUUUGAGAGAUCAAUUGGUGCCUUCGGGAACUCUGAGACAGGUGCUGCAUGGCUGUCGUCAGCUCGUGCCG